AGGGGAGUAGUUUAAUGGCAGAACUGCGGUCUCCAAAACCGCUGGCGGGGGUUCGAUUCCCUCCUCCCCUG
rnacentral:tRNA from 1 species